rnacentral:rRNA from 1 species
UCUCCUGGAAAACGGGUGGUAAUGCCGGAUGCUCCGGUUGGAUGCAUGUCCUUCCGGGAAAGAUCCGUCGGUAUGGGAUGGGGUCGCGUCCUAUCAGCUUGAUGGCGGGGUAACGGCCCACCAUGGCUUCGACGGGUAGCCGGCCUGAGAGGGCGACCGGCCACAUUGGGACUGAGAUACGGCCCAGACUCCUACGGGAGGCAGCAGUGGGGAAUAUUGCACAAUGGGCGCAAGCCUGAUGCAGCGACGCCGCGUGCGGGAUGGAGGCCUUCGGGUUGUAAACCGCUUUUGAUCGGGAGCAAGCCCUUCGGGGUGAGUGUACCUUUCGAAUAAGCACCGGCUAACUACGUGCCAGCAGCCGCGGUAAUACGUAGGGUGCAAGCGUUAUCCGGAAUUAUUGGGCGUAAAGGGCUCGUAGGCGGUUCGUCGCGUCCGGUGUGAAAGCCCAUCGCUUAACGGUGGGUCUGCGCCGGGUACGGGCGGGCUGGAGUGCGGUAGGGGAGACUGGAAUUCCCGGUGUAACGGUGGAAUGUGUAGAUAUCGGGAAAAACACCA